CGCCUUAUCGCUCGAUAAAUAAAAACGAGGUCGAUAACUUUGCCAGCCUCGAUAAUUUACGUGCGUUUGUUUUCCUCCUCUCUCGCUACCAAACACGCUGGAUGAGAGAAGAGGUCUCACUCUGCGCAUUUUUCUCGGCACCUGGGGGCGUUGGCUCUAUAGCGGAAUGAACGGAGUUAGUGAACCCUCCUGUCAGUCAUUCAGUAUCUUUGUUACGAGGGGGCGCGCGCGCAGGUACACGUAGGCGCGCACAGGCACACGGACACAGACUUUUGGAUACAGUGCUGCAAGUGAGCGUCGUGAGUGAAAAGCAAGCAAACAGAAUGAACACGACAGCUUUGGUGUCUAAACCGAACGCAACAGCCCAAGUGUGGGAAUAUUUCGGCUUUAAACCA